GCAUCGAUGAAGAACGCAGCGAAACGCGAUAGGUAAUGUGAAUUGCAGAAUUCCGUGAAUCAUCGAAUCUUUGAACGCACCUUGCGCUCCAUGGCAUUCCGUGGAGCAUGCCUGUUUGAGUGCCGCGAAAUCUCCCACCCCUAGCGGUUGCCGCAAGGCGCCGCCGGGCGGCGGGGUUGGUUGGGUGCCGCUGCCUGGGCUUUGGCCCAGGCUCGCCCGAAAUGCAUGAGCGCUUAGCACUCGCACCGUCUCGAGGGAAGGCGGCGGAGCUGGCAUCUGCGCAUGGCAUGAUACGUCAUUUGCUGUGUGGCGGCCCAGCGACCCGAGAGUGUGUGUGCGCUACUACACGCCCUUUCAUUUCUGGUCUCAAAUCAGGUAGGAUCACCCGCUGAACUUAAGCAUAUCAAUAAGCGGAGGA
rnacentral:rRNA from 1 species